GCUUCAUACAUGAGAAAUAUUUCUUUUGAUCAGAGUAGUUUGCAAGUGCGUGGGUCAAAUUUAAGCAUCGAGUUUUUAACGAGUGGCUCCUGUGUGUGAAGUGCUACAUGAGCUAGCUCUGGGGUAGACAGGCAGAACAGGGCACCAAACAUUAAAAUGGGCACGGGAAAGAUGUUUAAUGAUGGUUCAAGGUGGACACUAGGAGGAGCAUGAGAAAGCAGCACACGAAAAUUUGCAAGACGAAGCCCCAGAGACAGAGCAUGCCAGAUGUUGUGGAGAGCAUGGCUGCUGGGUCCCUUCGGCCACACAUGCUGAAGUCAUGAAGUCAGGAAACCUGACUCAGUAGUCGCUGUUCCAGUGUGGGGGCUGACAAAGCACCGCAUGGUCUGGGACGGCUGGAAACCGAGCCCAUCCCCGGAGCCCAGUCCUCUUCUGAGUGUGUUCUUGGGCUGGGGUCAGCGGGAGGGAGCCUGGAGACUUCGGACUACUUCAGCACUUUCUGGGAAACCGUGAAAGGGCUUCCCAGUUUGCACCAGCCCUGAUGAUCCCCAGGCCACUGAGGAAGGGCCACACAGUACACCAACCAGUCCAUGUCUGCCGGAUAUGCUUCUAGAGUGCCACUAAAACCUCUUCUGAAGAAAAGACUCUGCAGAGCAAAGAGGAAAAGAGGCACAGGAAUUCCCAGGCAAGAAAUACAGAUAGUAAAAGCUGUUGCACGGAGCUCCUGGAAGGCUGGUGAGCAGAGCAAAUGGACAAGAGAAGCUAUUCACAUCUUCCAAACUCUGAGACAAGACAUCCUGGGACAAAUCACUGUGAGGACUGCAGCCAGUUAUGGCAGGAGGUCCCGUAUCACUGAAUCUGGAGCUGGAGGGGUCCAGGAAACACCAGCAGUCAUUUUGCCGGAGAUAUUGAUCAGCCAGAGAAUACUCGUCUGUGAACUGGGUAAAUCCAGGGGCAGGACUGGAGGCAGGUUUACCUGAAGUAAGCAACAGUGUCCGGUGGAAUGAGGAGCCUAACAUUCUAGGUGACAAUUUUUACAUCCAAUUCACUGGAAAUAUGGUUGAGUUUCUUGGUAGGAAAAUUAAUUUUUUUAGCACUAGGGCCUCUGAACCAGCAGAGUUCCAAGAAUGAGAAGUAAACAUUUAAAAAGUCCAGCAUUGGGUGAAAUACUAAGGGUUCCUUUCCUAUUUCUGCACUUUGGUUGGUGGAAUUGUUUUCCAACUGUGGAAGAAACACUAUAUAUUGGUCACUCGUUC
rnacentral:lncRNA from 1 species